UGGGAUGAAACCAGAAAUCAAUAGCAGGA
rnacentral:piRNA from 1 species